rfam:Gossypium hirsutum cultivar TM-1 chromosome 11, whole genome shotgun sequence
UUAGCGGUGCUUUUAAGCACCACUAAAACUAUUUGCGGCGUUUUU